rnacentral:rRNA from 1 species
CAGCAGCCGCGGGAAUACGAAGGUCCCGAGCGUUGUUCGGAAUUACUGGGCGUAAAGCGUGCGCAGGCGGUUUGUUAAGACAGAUGUGAAAUCCCCGGGCUCAACCUGGGAACUGCAUUUGUGACUGGCAAGCUAGAGUGUGGCAGAGGGGGGUGGAAUUCCGCGUGUAGCAGUGAAAUGCGUAGAUAUGCGGAGGAACACCGAUGGCGAAGGCAGCCCCCUGGGCCAACACUGACGCUCAUGCACGAAAGCGUGGGGAGCAAACAGGAUUAGAUACCCCCGUAGUCCCUGUCUCUUAUAC